AUAAGGUGUUUAAGGAUAUGAAUGUUGACGAUAUUUUGGACCCUCGAAUCAAACAAUCAUAUGAUUCAAGGGCACACUUUGACUUGGUGAACAGGAUGGUGAAGACAGCAAUGUGGUGCAUCCAAGAUCGCCCAGAUGCACGACCAUCAAUGGGGAAAGUGGCUAAGAUGUUGGAAGGGACGGUGGAGAUCAUCGAGCCAAAGAAGCCUACCAUUUUCUUCUUAUCAGAGGAAUAAUAUAUGGCUCUCACUCAAUCCUCUUCAUAAUUUCCUCAAUAUGCUGUCUCAACAAGUUGCAGUAAGCAUGUAUUCCAUGUUGUUGUUUUUUGUAUUUUUGUAAUAAUAAAAGAAAGUAGAUAGGAAUCUGGAUCAUGU
rnacentral:misc_RNA from 1 species